rnacentral:rRNA from 1 species
UAGGGAAUCUUCCACAAUGGGCGAAAGCCUGAUGGAGCAACGCCGCGUGUGUGAUGAAGGCUUUAGGGUCGUAAAGCACUGUUGUAUGGGAAGAAAUGCUAGAAUAGGGAAUGAUUCUAGUUCGACGGUACCAUACCAGAAAGGGACGGCUAAAUACGUGCCAGCAGCCGCGGUAAUACGUAUGUCCCGAGCGUUAUCCGGAUUUAUUGGGCGUAAAGCGAGCGCAGACGGUUGAUUAAGUCUGAUGUGAAAGCCCGGAGCUCAACUCCGGAAUGGCAUUGGAAACUGGUUAACUUGAGUGUUGUAGAGGUAAGUGGAACUCCAUGUGUAGCGGUGGAAUGCGUAGAUAUAUGGAAGAACACCAGUGGCGAAGGCGGCUUACUGGACAACAACUGACGUUGAGGCUCGAAAGUGUGGGUAGCAAACAGGAUUAGAUACCCUGGUAGUCCACACCGUNNCGAUGAAUACUAGGUGUUAGGAGGUUUCCGCCUCUUAGUGCCGAAGCUAACGCAUUAAGUAUUCCGCCUGGGGAGUACGACCGCAAGGUUG